rnacentral:rRNA from 1 species
UACGAAGGGGGCUAGCGUUGUUCGGAAUUACUGGGCGUAAAGCGCGUGUAGGCGGGUCUUUAAGUCAGGGGUGAAAUGCCAAGGCUCAACCUUGGAACUGCCUUUGAUACUGGAGACCUUGAGUCCGGGAGAGGUGAGUGGAAUUGCGAGUGUAGAGGUGAAAUUCGUAGAGAUCGGGAGGAACACCAGUGGCGAAGGCGACUAUCUGGCUGACAACUGACGCUGAGACUCGAAAGCAUGGGGAGCAAACAGG